AUUGAACGCUGGCGGCAGGCCUAACACAUGCAAGUCGAGCGGGGUUUUCGGACCUAGCGGCGGACGGGUGAGUAAUGCGUAGGAAGCUACCCGAUAGAGGGGGAUACCAGUUGGAAACGACUGUUAAUACCGCAUAAUGUCUACGGACCAAAGUGUGGGACCUUCGGGCCACAUGCUAUCGGAUGCGCCUACGUGGGAUUAGCUAGUUGGUGGGGUAAUGGCUCACCAAGGCGACGAUCCCUAGCUGGUUUGAGAGGAUGAUCAGCCACACUGGAACUGAGACACGGUCCAGACUCCUACGGGAGGCGGCAGUGGGGAAUAUUGGACAAUGGGCGCAAGCCUGAUCCAGCCAUGCCGCGUGUGUGAAGAAGGCCUUCGGGUUGUAAAGCACUUUCAGUAGGGAGGAAGGGUGUUGUGUUAAUAGCACAGCAUUUUGACGUUACCUACAGAAGAAGCACCGGCUAACUACGUGCCAGCAGCCGCGGUAAUAC
rnacentral:rRNA from 1 species